ensembl:lncRNA
UUUGGUUUUUAAUCAGAUCACAAAUUCGUUUAUUGCAGCGCACAUAAGUGAAGACAUUCAAUUCCUUUCCACAGGACGGUAAGAGGUCACUUAAUCUAUUGUUGAACAGUCUCUUCUGUACCUCCUCAGCCAUGUGAAGGUAAGAUUUACAAAUUCACAACAAAAUGGGAAAACCUUUAAGACGGAUUAAAAAGGGGAAGGGAGAGUUGUUAGUCAUAAAAAUGCUGCGUCGGACUAUCUGCAGUCCAAACGCCAAUGAUACAUAAAUAAAUAAUUGAGAAUUUUGCUUCGUUACUGAGCAGAGAUUACCGCCUGCUCACGACUUUAAUGUGGUCUCAUUUCAUCCUCACCCUGGGUCAAAGGUCAGCUUUUAAUUGAUACAUUGUAUAUUGAAUAUUUCAUGAUGUCAUUUCUGUACCAAGUCAAACCCACGUCCCAACAGUUCAUCACAGCACUCCACUUUCCCCCUGUCCAUUUCUGCAUUUAUUGGAAUGUCAUAUUGUAAAACUGCUCCUUUAUUAAUCACAGUGUUGGCAGUACUUAAGAAGCCUCUUGCAGCAUGAAGCUCUAAUUACCACUAACAUCUGAAGCCACUGUGUGUGAACAUAAAAACAUUGUCUUUCACUAGUAUACCCAAUAAAAAAAAAGACAACCUGGUUCGUCCUAUGCUAGAUUAGCCGACUAGCCUCAAUUACGUGUGGGUUACAGUUCUUAUUCAACGUUACAAUGAGUUAUUUUAGCUGAACGAGUAUAGUAUAUCGCUGUUAAAAAAGAUGCAGUUAUUAAAACCAGAAGUUGGAUUGACUUCUCAAACACCGGGUCCCCCGAGCCGUCAGUCCUCGAAAGACAACACGCGUGUCUUUGUUUAAACUGUGGGGAUCGGGCUUUUUUUUAAAUAUACUCUCUUCCUUCAAAUUGGAUGAUGUUAACCUGUUGUGCUUCUUUAAGACAUGUUUUGAAUGCAAGGCAUCUGGAAUGUUGUAGAAUCGAUUUUAGUGAUUGAUAAUUAGUGAUUGUCCUCAGUCCUCGCCCAUUUACCUGUGUGCUCCCGAUGCAUAUUUACAGACAAAGAGCCGUGUUCUCAACCUCUGCAUUUACAAUGAAACAAACGAAAUUUCAUUAAGACUCGGAUUCCAAAAACAGUAGAGGCAUCUAGGCAAUCCCUGUUUCCACCCCCCCCCCUCACAACUAAACAAUAUGUACAAAAAGACAGUUGAGGACUUGAUUUCUUUCAGAAAGUGCACGAAAAAAACAGUCAGGCUGCGUACACAGUCUCAAAGAACUUUGACUGAUGUAAUGUGGAAACAGCUCAGACAGAAUUAGGUUAAGUGGACAAGAGGCUAAAACACACACACGCACACACACACACACACACACUCUGUACAGUGUUUUAUAAUUCUAUACACCAUAUGUGGAGAAGCACAAAUCAGCUAGUCCUAAAGAAUUACACUGAAUCGAGUAACGUUUAACGUAUCUAAAGUGCUAAAAAACAAACAAACAAACACACAUUCAUACCGUUUUUGUACUUAAAUCCGAUGCGUAGUUUCCAAGUAUCGAUACAAUCGAUUAUGUACCAUUUCAAUCGAUUUGUAAUCAAUAUAUGUCGUCCGGAAUGCCGAUUUUGCGGAGCACAGAUCGGUUCAGUUGGAUCGCAGGAAUAUAAAUCGAUUAAUCGAUUCAGUGAAUGAAUCGUUACACCCCUAUUUUUUCCCCUUUAGGCAAGAAUGGAACCAGUAAAUAAAACCAGCUUUUUCAGCCAUUGAAAACAAGGGUAUGACGCUUAGGAAUGCCACACUAAUAGAACAGCCCUUUUUGUACCAUCAUGAGGGAAAGUAUUGUUGACAAUGUGUGCUAUUACUUGGAAAUCUACUGUACAUUCUUAUCCAAUACGUUGUCUCGUUCCUUCCAGAUAACUUUUGGCCCAUUUAUGCAGACACAAGAGGCCGGCAACACUGUUGUCGUUAUCUCACUGAAAAGUAGCUCGUAUUUGACUUUUAACCAAAGCUGCAAUGAAUGCACACUUUUUAAUAUAGGUAAAAACAUCCCGUCUGAUACUGAUCAAC